UACGAAGGGGGCUAGCGUUGUUCGGAAUUACUGGGCGUAAAGCGCACGUAGGCGGACAUUUAAGUCAGGGGUGAAAUCCCGGGGCUCAACCCCGGAACGGCCUUUGAUACUGGGUGUCUUGAGUUCGGAAGAGGUGAGUGGAAUUGCGAGUGUAGAGGUGAAAUUCGUAGAUAUUCGCAGGAACACCAGUGGCGAAGGCGGCUCACUGGUCCGACACUGACGCUGAGGUGCGAAAGCGUGGGGAGCAAACAGG
rnacentral:rRNA from 1 species